rnacentral:lncRNA from 12 species
CCCCCCCCCCCCCCCCCCCCCCCCCCCCCCCCCCCCCCCCCCCCCCCCCCCCCCCCCCCCCCCCCCCCCCCCACCUGGGCACACCUGGGACACACCUGGGGACAUUUUGGGGUGGUGAGGCACACCUGGGGAUACCUGGGGACUCGUGUGCUGGGACACACCUGGGGGUAGCUGGGAUACACCUGGACACACCUGGGGGCACCUGGGACACACCUGGGCACACCUGGGGAUACCUGGGAUACACCUGGGCACACCUGGGCACACCUGGGGACAUUUAGGGGUUGUGGGACGCACCUGGGGCACACCUGUGGCAUGAGAGCCACCCUGAGCCUCCCCCCCCCGAGGCCCGGUGAGCUCACCUGGCUCUCACCUGGCUCUCACCUGGCUCUCACCUGGCUCUCACCUGGCUCUCACCUGGCUCACCUGCGUUACCUGCGCAGGAGCUGGUGUCGGACGCCAACCAGCACGUGAAGUCGGCGCUGGCCUCGGUGAUCAUGGGGCUGUCCCCGAUCCUGGGCAAGGACAACACGGUGGAGCACCUGCUGCCGCUGUUCCUGGCGCAGCUCAAGGACGAGUGCCCCGAGGUGCGGCUGAACAUCAUUUCCAACCUGGACUGCGUGAACGAGGUGAUCGGCAUCCGGCACCUCAGCUCCAUCCCAGUACCUCCCAGUCCCUCCCAGUGCCUCCCAGUGCCUCCCAGUGCCUCCAAACUGGGCUCUGGCUCUCUCCUAGUCCCUCCCAGUCCAUCCCAGUAAGUCCCAGUCCCUCCCAGUGUCUUCCAGUUUAUCCCAGUCCAUCCCAAUUCCUCUCAAUAAUCCCUCAGUGUCUCCGCAUCUCCAUCUGCUGGCGGCUUUGGGAACUGCAGCCUCCUCCCAGUCCCUCCCAGUCCCUCCAAACUGGCCUCCAGCCCCCUCCCAGUACCUCCCAGUAACUCCCAGUCCCUCCCAGUGCCUCCCAGUACCCUUCAAUUCUCUCU